GCCAGGCAUGGUGGUGCAUGCCUGUAAUCCCAGCUACUAGGGAGGCUGAGGCAGGAGAAUUGCUUGAAACCAGGAGGCGGAGAUUGCAGUAAGCUGAGAUCACAUCACUGCACUCCCGCCUGGGCAACAGAGCGAGACUCUGUCUCAA
rnacentral:SRP_RNA from 1 species